rnacentral:rRNA from 1 species
GAGACUCUGUGCGCGUGCAUAUCAAUAAGCGGAGGAAAAGAAACUAACAAGGAUUCCCUUAGUAACGGCGAGUGAAGCGGGAAGAGCUCAAAUUUGAAAUCUUCAAGGGUUCUACCUUACGAAUUGUAGUUUAUAGAAGUGUUUUCUGUUAGUAGAGUUCGGCUAAAAGUUCUUUGGAAUAGGACAUCAUAGAGGGUGAGAAUCCCGUAUUUGGUCAUUCUUUCUAGCUGUGUGAUACACUUUCAACGAGUCGGAUUGUUUGGGAAUGCAGUCCAAGAUGGGUGGUAAAUUUCAUCUAAAGCUAAAUAUUGGCGAGAGACCGAUAGCGAACAAGUACCGUGAGGGAAAGAUGAAAAGAACUUUGAAAAGAGAGUUAAACAGUACGUGAAAUUGUCAAAAGGGAAGCGUUUGACACCAGUGUUGUUUAGUUGAAAAUCAAUUCAAUAGUUUUUGAUUCUAAGUAGUAUUGACUUCAUCAGCUUGCUGCUUUCUUCUCAGAAAUUAUUGAAUGCACUUUUCAGUUAACAAGUCAACAUCAAUUUCUUUUGUUGUAAAAGGGUAAGAGGAAGGUGGCUUACGCUUCGGCGUAAGUGUUUAUAGCCCUUUACCUCUGCAAUCGGAGAGAUUGAGGACAGCAGCGUAGACUCUUCGGGGUUAGAUACACUUGUGCUAAGCUAUAGCCUUGUAUAGACAACUUGUUGACUAUGCUCAGUCAUGUAGCUUACUCGCUUGUGCUAUUUUACCUACGCUUAGGAUGUUGACAGCAGUAUAGACUGU